rnacentral:rRNA from 1 species
GACGAACGCUGGCGGCGUGCCUAAUACAUGCAAGUUGAGCGCUGAAGUCUGGUACUUGUACCGGUUGGAUGAGCAGCGAACGGGUGAGUAACGCGUGGGUAACCUGCCCUAUAGAGGGGGAUAACUAGAGGAAACUUUAGCUAAUACCGCAUAAAAUCUAAUAACACAUGUUAUAAGAUUGAAAGUGCCAAAUGGUACACUAUAGGAUGGACCCGCGUUGUAUUAGCUAGUUGGUGAGGUAAUAGCUCACCAAGGCGAUGAUACAUAGCCGACCUGAGAGGGUGAUCGGCCACACUGGGACUGAGACACGGCCCAGACUCCUACGGGAGGCAGCAGUAGGGAAUCUUCGGCAAUGGACGAAAGUCUGACCGAGCAACGCCGCGUGAGUGAAGAAGGUUUUCGGAUCGUAAAACUCUGUUGUAAGAGAAGAACACCAGUAAGAGUGGAAAGCUUACUGGCUGACGGUAUCUUACCAGAAAGCCACGGCUAACUACGUGCCAGCAGCCGCCGUAACAC